UACGUAGGGUGCGAGCGUUGUCCGGAAUUAUUGGGCGUAAAGGGCUCGUAGGCGGUCUGUUGCGUCGGGAGUGAAAACUCAGGGCUUAACCCUGAGCCUGCUUCCGAUACGGGCAGACUAGAGGUAUGCAGGGGAGAACGGAAUUCCUGGUGUAGCGGUGAAAUGCGCAGAUAUCAGGAGGAACACCGGUGGCGAAGGCGGAUCUCUGGGCCAUUACUGACGCUGAGGGGCGAAAGCGUGGGGAGCGAACAGG
rnacentral:rRNA from 1 species